rnacentral:lncRNA from 1 species
UCGUUCUUAUUUUGUACUGUUACACCACUGUCCUAGGUUAAGGGGAGGAUUGGGAUCCCGCUAAUAUGUUUAACCUUGCCACAUUCUGUAUGUAUGUGCCUGUCUAAAGUCAGGAGCCUGUAAUUUAGUGGUUGUCGUUUGAUGCUGUGUUACAUAUUGUUUUUUGUUCAUUUUUUUAUACACAAAUUAGGCCGUUAGUUUUCUCGUUUGAAUUGUUCUAUAUUUGCCAUUUCAGGACCUUUUAUAUAUAGCUAACUAUGCGGUAUGAGCUUUGUUCAUUGUUGAAGGUCGUUAAGUGACCUAUACUUGUUAAUUUCUGUGUCCCUUGGUCUCUUGUUAAAAGUUGUCUCAUUGGCAAUCAUUCCACAUCUUCUUUGUUUUAUGUCAUAUGCUCAUAUGCAUUGAUAAUUUUCUUGAAAUAGUCAUAGAUUUUUGGUGUAUCCAUCUGAUGAGUUAAGCCUUAUUGUUGUCAAUAUUUUUAUUUAUUUUGAUGCUUUAUACGACUACAGGAUAUUUUCUAGUGUUUUACCUCUUAUUGUUUACGUGGCGAGGAUCUUCAGAGGUCUCCACGCUUCACAGAUUGCUCUGAUGUGCAACGGCUGUUAUGCCAGACAAGCUGGGGCCGAGGGAUGUCAGAGCACGUAUUAUAUAAAAAGUAGAUAUUUCGCC